GACAGAGGUUGCAAACGUUGUUCGGAAUCACUGGGCAUAAAGCGCACGUAGGCGGUCUGUUAAGUCAGGUGUGAAAGCCCCCGGCUCAACCGGGGAAUUGCAUUUGAUACUGGCAGGCUCGAGAACGGUAGGGGUGAGUGGAACUCCAGGUGGAGCGGUGAAAUGCGUAGAUAUCUGGAGGAACACCGGUGGCGAAGGCGGGUCUCUGGGCCGAUACUGACGCUGAGGAGCGAAAGCGUGGGGAGCGAACAGG
rnacentral:rRNA from 1 species